UUUGUGAGCUCUUCCUCUGAUGAAUCCAAGCUGUCAGUCAGACGGAGAGCAAGGGCAAGAGGAAAGGGAGAGAGGCUGUUGCAUUGCUUGCUAAUCAUCGGGUGAACGGGGUACUGCAGCAUCCGUUCGGGUGAUCAAUGCAGAGGUGGUACAGAGCCUCCAGAGAACACAGAACCGCUGGGGCAGAACUACAUACACUUGGGAGAGGGCCGACUCUCAGAUGAGGAUCUCAUGACCCGUCCCAUGACCUCCUUCUAUGAAGAACUGUCAAUAACCCUGACGUUGAGUGUCACGGAUGCUGUCAUGGAGAUGGUAAUGGCUGUUAUCAUUGAAGGAUGGAGUUCUACAACAGACAGGGGUCUCCACGUGGUCCAGGCCCUGCAGCCGGAAGAGUCUGCAGCCUCCUCAGACAGCGCCACCAUCUGGAGACCAAGUGUUCAAACACAUGCCUGAGGCAGAGGGCAAGGAUCCCUUUCAAACCACAGAGCAAGGGCUCAGGGGACCUGGGAGAUCCACAACGGGGCACUCUAUCCUGACAAACUGACACGUGAGUGUAAAUAUAGGAACUGAGCUGACCUUGAACUCACGGUCCUCCUGUCUCGUCUCAGCUGAGUGCCUGGGAUUACCUUUCCACCUUGUGAGGUCACCACUGGAUUACAAAUUCUUCCAGAGCAGAGCUCUAUGGCUUUCUCGCUGUGACCAGCCCUGCCUCCCCAAGAGACCAGCUGUUUGGUGAUCCCGAUGCUUUCUAUGAGCCGCCUUUGUUGUGAGAUGCUGUGGAAAGAGGAGACAUUGGGCUAUUCCUUUUGGAGGUCUCUGUGUCAUCCCGGAAUUUAGCAUCCUGUACAUUUAAAUGGCUAAGGAAUGGGAUGUAAGGAGGCAAAACUUUUACGUUCCUUUAGAUGUGAGCAGAGGGCUUGAACAAAUCUGAUAGUGGGCUGCUAGUCUCGGAAAAGAUCUCUAAUUAAAAUAAAACAAAGCAAAACAGAACAAAACAAAACACACACUGUGGGGAUCAGGUGGAGAAAAAUCAAUGUAGUUCCAAAUGCAAACCUUUCCUCAUGUUCCAAUGGGAUCUUGUGCAGUCCAGGCUAGUCUUGAACUCACUAUGUAACUAAGGAUAACCUUGAACUUCUGAUGCUAGUCUUGAACUCACUAUGUAACUAAGGAUAACCUUGAACUUCUGAUGCUCCUGCCUCCUUCUCCCAAGGGCUGGGGUUACAAGCGUGUGCCACCACACUCUGGGUUAUGCACUGCUAGGGAUGGAACCCAGGUUUUUGUGCAUACUAGAUGAGCAUCCUGCCAACUGAGAUACGUCCUUGGCCAUAGAUAUUUUAAGAAGAGGUUUUGUGUCUAUGCUUGUGUGUGCCUGUGCAUGUGGAUACAUGAACAUCCAUGGAUCUGUGUGCACGUGUGUGGAGGCCAAGGACAACCUCAGUUGUUAUUCCUUAGAUGCUGAUAACCUUGGAGUUUUUGAGACAGAGCCUCUCACUUGCCUAGAACUCACUGAUUGGGCUGAUCUGAUUGGUCAGUGAGCCCUCCGAGAUCCUCUAGUGUCUGCUUCCGCUAUAAGCCUGUGCUACCAUAUCCAGCCCUUUUCUUGUUUAAUAUGGGUUCCGAGGAUCAAAUCUGGCUCCUCAUGCUUACAAGGCAAGUGCUUUACCAACUCUGCAACUCUUAAAAGCUUAAAACUCUUAAAAGCUCCCUUUAUUUAUACAACUCAUCAAGCUCUAAGACUCAAAACACAUCUGCACCCGAUGGCCGCUUUCCCCAAGACUAAAGUUUCUGUGUUUGUGUUCUCUCUAUAAUGAACUUACAACUUGGCAAGAAGAACUCAGUGACCCCUUGACCUUGAACUUCCAGGUCCAGACCCAAGAGGUCACAAUGAAACUUGUUCUCUGCCCAGGAGCAUUGCUGGGCACAGCCCACCUGUGCAGAAUCCUAGGGUAUCCCCACAACACAUCCCUCACGGUGCCCCAUCCCUACACAGGCACGCUGUCACAAAUAAUCCAUUAAACCAUACUUAUGGCAAGUUAUUUCAGUGCUGGGUUUUGUUACCCUUAAAACACUGAAGAAGAUGAAAUUGUGUGUCAGGUUUUCAUCACUGUGACAGAAAUACCUGAGAAAAUAGCUUAGAAGAGGAAAGCGCCGUGAGGAGACAGCUCACUGGAUACACGGCUCGUGUUACAUAUGUGGGGACAUGAGUUCAGUCCCCGGCACCCAUGUUAAAAAGCCACACGUGGUGGAAGGCAGAGACUGGAGGAGACCUGGGCCUCACCGGCCAGCCUGUAGCCUACUUGGUGAGUUCUAAGCCACUGUCUCAACAAUCACGGUAGGUAGUAUUCUGAAGAAGGAGAAGAGAUAGGGGCCUCUGGCCUGUACACACAUGUACACACAUCUGGUUACACAUAAGACUACUGUCCACACAUGAACACACACAUGCAAAUAAAUGCUCGAGCAGGAUCUCAGGUUUAUUUCUGCUCUUCAUAGCCCAAUUCAGAGUUUUUCACUGAACCGGACGCUACCAUUUCAGCUAGGCUGGCCAGCCAAUGAGCUGUUCAGAUCUGUCUGUAUCCGUCUUUCAGUGAUGGGGUUACAGGCACACACAACCAUGUCUGGCUUUUGAUGAGGGUGCUGGAGAUUAAACGCUCAUCCUCAUGCUACAGAGUAAGCAACCCUACCCAUGGAGCCAUCUCCCCAACCCCUGACAGCACUCAAAAAAAUAAAACUGCACUAUCUACUAUGAAAG